UUAAGCGACUAAGCGUACACGGUGGAUGCCCUGGCAGUCAGAGGCGAUGAAGGACGUGCUAAUCUGCGAAAAGCGUCGGUAAGGUGAUAUGAACCGUUAUAACCGGCGAUGUCCGAAUGGGGAAACCCAGUGCAAUUCGUUGCACUAUCGUUAACUGAAUACAUAGGUUAACGAGGCGAACCGGGGGAACUGAAACAUCUAAGUACCCCGAGGAAAAGAAAUCAACCGAGAUUCCCCCAGUAGCGGCGAGCGAACGGGGAGCAGCCCAGAGUCUGAAUCAGCUUGUGUGUUAGUGGAACGGUCUGGAAAGUCCGACGGUACAGGGUGAUAGUCCCGUACACCAAAAUGCACAGGCUGUGAACUCGAAGAGUAGGGCGGGACACGUGGUAUCCUGUCUGAAUAUGGGGGGACCAUCCUCCAAGGCUAAAUACUCCUGACUGACCGAUAGUGAACCAGUACCGUGAGGGAAAGGCGAAAAGAACCCCGGCGAGGGGAGUGAAAAAGAACCUGAAACCGUGUACGUACAAGCAGUGGGAGCACCUUCGGGUGUGACUGCGUACCUUUUGUAUAAUGGGUCAGCGACUUAUAUUCUGUAGCAAGGUUAACCGUAUAGGGGAGCCGCAGGGAAACCGAGUCUUAACUGGGCGUUAAGUUGCAGGGUAUAGACCCGAAACCCGGUGAUCUAGCCAUGGGCAGGUUGAAGGUUGGGUAACACUAACUGGAGGACCGAACCGACUAAUGUUGAAAAAUUAGCGGAUGACUUGUGGCUGGGGGUGAAAGGCCAAUCAAACCGGGAGAUAGCUGGUUCUCCCCGAAAGCUAUUUAGGUAGCGCCUCGUGAAUUCAUCUUCGGGGGUAGAGCACUGUUUCGGCUAGGGGGUCAUCCCGACUUACCAACCCGAUGCAAACUACGAAUACCGAAGAAUGUUAUCACGGGAGACACACGGCGGGUGCUAACGUCCGUCGUGAAGAGGGAAACAACCCAGACCGCCAGCUAAGGUCCCAAAGUCAUGGUUAAGUGGGAAACGAUGUGGGAAGGCACAGACAGCCAGGAUGUUGGCUUAGAAGCAGCCAUCAUUUAAAGAAAGCGUAAUAGCUCACUGGUCGAGUCGGCCUGCGCGGAAGAUGUAACGGGGCUAAACCAUGCACCGAAGCUGCGGCAGCGACACUAUGUGUUGUUGGGUAGGGGAGCGUUCUGUAAGCCUGCGAAGGUGUGCUGUGAGGCAUGCUGGAGGUAUCAGAAGUGCGAAUGCUGACAUAAGUAACGAUAAAGCGGGUGAAAAGCCCGCUCGCCGGAAGACCAAGGGUUCCUGUCCAACGUUAAUCGGGGCAGGGUGAGUCGACCCCUAAGGCGAGGCCGAAAGGCGUAGUCGAUGGGAAACAGGUUAAUAUUCCUGUACUUGGUGUUACUGCGAAGGGGGGACGGAGAAGGCUAUGUUAGCCGGGCGACGGUUGUCCCGGUUUAAGCAUGUAGGCUGGUUAUCCAGGCAAAUCCGGAUAAUCAAGGCUGAGGUGUGAUGACGAGGCACUACGGUGCUGAAGUAACAAAUGCCCUGCUUCCAGGAAAAGCCUCUAAGCAUCAGGUAACAUCAAAUCGUACCCCAAACCGACACAGGUGGUCAGGUAGAGAAUACCAAGGCGCUUGAGAGAACUCGGGUGAAGGAACUAGGCAAAAUGGUGCCGUAACUUCGGGAGAAGGCACGCUGGUGUGUAGGUGAAGCCCCUGCGGGUGGAGCUGAGACCAGUCGAAGAUACCAGCUGGCUGCAACUGUUUAUUAAAAACACAGCACUGUGCAAACACGAAAGUGGACGUAUACGGUGUGACGCCUGCCCGGUGCCGGAAGGUUAAUUGAUGGGGUUAUCCGUAAGGAGAAGCUCUUGAUCGAAGCCCCGGUAAACGGCGGCCGUAACUAUAACGGUCCUAAGGUAGCGAAAUUCCUUGUCGGGUAAGUUCCGACCUGCACGAAUGGCGUAAUGAUGGCCAGGCUGUCUCCACCCGAGACUCAGUGAAAUUGAACUCGCUGUGAAGAUGCAGUGUACCCGCGGCAAGACGGAAAGACCCCGUGAACCUUUACUAUAGCUUGACACUGAACAUUGAGCCUUGAUGUGUAGGAUAGGUGGGAGGCUUUGAAGCGUGGACGCCAGUCUGCGUGGAGCCAACCUUGAAAUACCACCCUUUAAUGUUUGAUGUUCUAACGUUGGCCCCUGACCGGGGUUGCGGACAGUGUCUGGUGGGUAGUUUGACUGGGGCGGUCUCCUCCCAAAGCGUAACGGAGGAGCACGAAGGUUAGCUAAUCCUGGUCGGACAUCAGGAGGUUAGUGCAAUGGCAUAAGCUAGCUUGACUGCGAGCGUGACGGCGCGAGCAGGUGCGAAAGCAGGUCAUAGUGAUCCGGUGGUUCUGAAUGGAAGGGCCAUCGCUCAACGGAUAAAAGGUACUCCGGGGAUAACAGGCUGAUACCGCCCAAGAGUUCAUAUCGACGGCGGUGUUUGGCACCUCGAUGUCGGCUCAUCACAUCCUGGGGCUGAAGUAGGUCCCAAGGGUAUGGCUGUUCGCCAUUUAAAGUGGUACGCGAGCUGGGUUUAGAACGUCGUGAGACAGUUCGGUCCCUAUCUGCCGUGGGCGCUGGAGAAUUGAGGGGGGCUGCUCCUAGUACGAGAGGACCGGAGUGGACGCAUCACUGGUGUUCGGGUUGUCAUGCCAAUGGCACUGCCCGGUAGCUAAAUGCGGAAGAGAUAAGUGCUGAAAGCAUCUAAGCACGAAACUUGCCCCGAGAUGAGUUCUCCCUGAGACUUUAAGUCUCCUGAAGGAACGUU
rnacentral:rRNA from 1 species